ACCUACGGGGGGCAGCAGUGGGGAAUAUUGCACAAUGGGGGGAACCCUGAUGCAGCGACGCCGCGUGGGCGAGGAAGUAUUUCGGUAUGUAAAGCCCUAUCGGCAGGGAAGAAGAAAUGACGGUACCUGAAUAAGAAGCACCGGCUAAAUACGUGCCAGCAGCCGCGGUAAUACGUAUGGUGCAAGCGUUAUCCGGAUUUACUGGGCGUAAAGGGAGCGCAGGCGGCGCGCCAAGUCUGAUGUGAAGCCCCGGGGCUCAACCCCGGGCAUGCCUUGGAAACUGGCGGGCUGG
rnacentral:rRNA from 1 species